GACGAACGCUGGCGGCGUGCCUAAUACAUGCAAGUCGAGCGAAUUUAUGGGAGCUUGCUCCCAUAAAUUAGCGGCGGACGGGUGAGUAACACGUGGGCAACCUGCCUAUAAGACUGGGAUAACUUCGGGAAACCGGAGCUAAUACCGGAUAAUUCCUUUCCUCACAUGGGGGAAGGUUGAAAGAUGGUUUACGCUAUCACUUAUAGAUGGGCCCGCGGCGCAUUAGCUAGUUGGUGAGGAACGGCUCACCAAGGCAACGAUGCGUAGCCGACCUGAGAGGGUGAUCGGCCACACUGGGACUGAGACACGGCCCAGACUCCUACGGGAGGCAGCAGUAGGGAAUCUUCCGCAAUGGACGAAAGUCUGACGGAGCAACGCCGCGUGAGUGAUGAAGG
rnacentral:rRNA from 1 species